UUUUUAUAUUAAACCACCCCUUUAUCUUUUAUUUUCCACAAACCCUAACACAAAAUUAUUUUAUUUUGCUAUAAAACCUUUGGCUCUUAUUUUAUCUCUAUCUAUACCCUAUAUUCAAAACUCAACUUUUGUUGGUGCUGGUUCAAAACAAUUUGCCAAAACAGGUUUCCUAAAAUAAACAAAAGAGAAAAGGUUUUGCUAAAUAAAAAGAAAACCCCUUCCUCCUAUCCUAUCCAGGCCCCCUCUCUCUGGCCCAUCUCCCCUCUUCCUUCCCCCCCUUUUUUCCGGUGGCCCAAGUCAGCACCACAGCGGCCCAUCCUUCCAUCCCGGCCCCCUUCUUGGCCCGAUACCUUUUCGCGUGGAGACACUCUGCUGUCGUCUUCUCCCCCUCACGUUGGCAGCGUGAGCUCUUUUUUCCUCUGCCAUGGACCACCGCACAUGGUCCUCCUCUCCCAACCACCGCACCACCACCUCCCCCUCCCCUUUUAUUCCUCAUCCGAGGCGCAGCGAAAACCCUAGCCCUCAUCUUCCUCCUCCCUCGCGCCGCCUCUCCCUGGUUCCUCUUCUUUUCUAUUCUCUAUGAGCAAAACCCCACAGCACAGCCACUGCCCCGCCAUGGCGCCGCCGCUACACACCACCCCUCGCCGUUCUGAGGGCACCGGGAGAUGCGCCUCGUCGUCCUCUUCAACCUAGUUCAAGGAAUCGAGUCGGGGCUGGCUCAAUCAACGGCAAAAUCGCCGUUCCCUUCCCCAACUCCGGCGAGUUCAUCAUCAAUUACGGCCGCUGGAGACCUCCCCCGUCCUCUCCGACCUCAUCCACGGCUCCCUGGUGAUGUGCUCGUUCUUCUAGACCUCUUCCCCGUCUCGUUCUCGUCCUCGUUUAUUUUCUACCGAUGUUGACCACUGGUAACCUCCGCAGGAGCUCGACGCCGGCGAUACUCCGGCGAGCCCCUGGACCCGACACCACCACCAUCAGGUUCAGCGCGUCAAUCCGCAUCCCCGACGCCAUCUCGCCCCGUCCUGUUUCGUUCGGAAUCCCCAGAUCGACGCUCGACUGCGAGCUCCACCAUGGCUGUUCUUCCAGGAGCUUCCGCGUUGGCCUGGUUCAAAAGGCUGCACACCUCCAUUCGACCAACAGCAGAUGCAUCAGCCCAGUUGAUCCGGCGCCUGAUGGGCCUUGACCCAGAUCCUCCGACCCAGCCUGUCUCCCAGUGCGCCCAGCUCUUAUCCGUCUCCACUUUCAGGCCAGAUCCGGCCCAGAGAUAUCGCAGCAUUUGCUUCUUCCCGGAUAGGAUCGCGAAGUGGUGUUGUGAGAUACGACAAGUUCUUCUACUGCUUUUCACAGGCGAGCCCACCCCUUCACCUAUUUUACUUUUACAUGCUCUUUUGAUCUAUUGCUAUCCUUAUGUUGCGAUUCUGUUGUGUCACGUGUCCUAUCCACCUGUUACCUAUAUGUCCGAGAUACACCUCCUCGCCCUACCUUUUGUUUGUUGUUUGUCAGCUUUGCGAGUCGUAGGCGAGUUUAGGGUUUUUGUUGAUAUCUCGAAAUGUUCGGGAUAUCUUGUUGGGAUGUUGACACAUGUACUACCUUUUCGAAAAUGAAGUGGAUAACUUUUGCUACAACUUAAAAUUGCUAAGGGAUAUAAUAUGCAGAGGCAUCUGUGAGCCCCUUUGCGAAAGCAUCGGAACUUUGACUUGCUAAUGUCCCCUAGGACCCGAGUUCUUGUUAUCUGUUUCUAAGACUGAGCGCGCUAACCACUCGUGGGAGGUUUUAUCGGGACCCCCAUCACCCAUUACCAUUUCUCAAGUCUGUUGAAAAGGGGGCCACAACUUUGGUUUUAUUUGCCUAUGCCAUGUAUGCCAUGCUUUACUUACUGUUGCCUUCGGGUGUUUAUAUUCUGUAUUGUACCCCGCGGGACAUUUAGCGAAGCGUGUGGUUCGCACGCCUAGCCGCCGACGCAAACCCUGAGUCCGCAUCGGAGUACGGCCGAACUUCAUUUCGGGUAGCUUAGUCGGGUGGCCCCCCUAGGCAUUCUUGUUGAUUUGGGAACGGUCUUGUUGUGAGACUCCGUCGUAAUUAAGCGGGUUCGAGCAUGCGUGUAUGGUAACAUUGGUGCACCCCUGCAGGGUUAAAUCUUUUCGGAAAGCCGUGUCCACGGUUAUGGACGACUUGGAGCUGUUUAACUCGAUCAUAGAACAACUUACACCUAAUGUUGUCGCUAAUAACUUGCUAAUUACUUGCGUAGUAAGUUAGCCCUAUUACAAUGGAAUGGAUAUAAAAUUGUCAACUGUGUGAGUGCCUUGCUAGUACCUCUUGGCUAAGGGGGAUCGUAAUGGCAGGGUUUGUUUGCAGAGUAUAGAACUGCUAGAAUAUGCGCUCUCUCACCUUCUCUAUUAGACGGAUGUUGUAGCGUGUCUCUAUUGGUUAGUGCUUUGCUGCCGCUAAACUCCACAUAUAGCCGGGCGAAGUUUACACCGCCCACCAGCAAGCAUAGCUGGUC